AGCGAACGUUAGCGGCGGGCCUAACACAUGCAAGUCGAACGAGAAAGGGGCUUCGGCCCUUAGUAAAGUGGCGAACGGGUGAGUAACACGUGGGCAAUCUGCCCUUCUGUUGGGGAUAACAUUCCGAAAGGAUGGCUUAUACCGAAAACGUCGACGAGGACCGCGGUCUUUGGCGGGAAAGCCGGCCACUUCAUGAAAGAUGGCGCAGGAGGAGGAACCCGCGUCCCAUCAGCGAGUUGGUAGGGUAAAAGCCCACCAAGGCGAAGACGGGUAGCUGGUCUGAGAGGAUGAUCAGCCACACUGGGACUGAGACACGGCCCAGACUCCUACGGGAGGCAGCAGUGGGGAAUAUUGCACAAUGGGCGCAAGCCUGAUGCAGCGACGCCGCGUGAGGGAUGACGGCCUUCGGGUUGUAAACCUCUUUCAAUAGGGACGAAGCGCAAGUGACGGUACCUAUAGAAGAAGCACCGGCCAACUACGUGCCAGCAGCCGCCGCCGUAA
rnacentral:rRNA from 1 species